rnacentral:rRNA from 1 species
AUUGAACGCGGGCGGCGUGCCUAAUACAUGCAAGUCGAACGGGGAAAGCUUUCGGGUGAGUACUAGUGGCGCACGGGUGAGUAACGCGUGGAUAAUCUGCCUUAGAGUGGGGGAUAACUAGUCGAAAGAUUAGCUAAUACCGCAUAAGACCACAAGAACUGCGGUUCAAGGGGUCAAAGGUUUUUCGCUCUAAGAUGAGUCCGCGUAAGAUUAGCUAGUUGGUAGGGUAACGGCCUACCAAGGCGACGAUCUUUAACUGGUCUGAGAGGAUGAUCAGUCACACUGGAACUGAGACACGGUCCAGACUCCUACGGGAGGCAGCAGUAGGGAAUAUUGCACAAUGGAGGAAACUCUGAUGCAGCGACGCCGCGUGAGUGAUGAAGGCCUUCGGGUCGUAAAGCUCUGUCGCAGGGGAAUAACACAAUGAAGGUACCCUGUAAGAAAGGAUCGGCUAACUUCGUGCCAGCCGCCGCGGUAAAAC